UACAGAGGGGGCAAGCGUUGUUCGGAAUUACUGGGCGUAAAGGGUGCGUAGGCGGUCGCGUAAGUCAGGUGUGAAAUCCCGGGCCUCAACCCCGGAACUGCACUUGAUACUGCGUGGCUAGGGUACUGGAGAGGAGACUGGAAUUUACGGUGUAGCAGUGAAAUGCGUAGAUAUCGUAAGGAAGACCAGUGGCGAAGGCGAGUCUCUGGACAGUUACCGACGCUGAGGCACGAAGGCCAGGGGAGCAAACGGG
rnacentral:rRNA from 1 species